GGCGCUGUGGUGCAGUGGGUUAACACCCUGGCCUGAAGUGCCAGCAUCCCCUAUGGGCGCUGGUUCUAGUCCUGGCUGCUCCA
rfam:Oryctolagus cuniculus unplaced genomic scaffold chrTn0040, whole genome shotgun sequence.